UACGUAGGGGGCAAGCGUUGUCCGGAAUCAUUGGGCGUAAAGAGCGUGUAGGCGGCUCGGUAAGUCCGCUGUGAAAGUCUAGGGCUCAACCCUGGAAUGCCGGUGGAAACUGUCGAGCUCGAGUCCGGAAGAGGCGAGUGGAAUUCCUGGUGUAGCGGUGAAAUGCGCAGAUAUCAGGAGGAACACCAAUGGCGAAGGCAGCUCGCUGGGACGGUACUGACGCUGAGACGCGAAAGCGUGGGGAGCAAACAGG
rnacentral:rRNA from 1 species